CGUCAUGCUUUUCCACAGCUUUCUUGAACAGCUGAACUACUACUAUUAUCUCAAGAAUUGUAAAGAAGCUCAAGAAUGCUGUGGGAAGACUUGGCAA
rnacentral:miRNA from 1 species